rnacentral:sRNA from 12 species
AUUCAUGAGCGGUAAGACCGUUACAGAUUUCCAAGGUGUUCCCUCCCAUCGGUAGGCCACAGCUUUGGUGAAACAAAUCCGUAGGGCACGCUCUUUUU